rnacentral:lncRNA from 1 species
CUUUGUUCCUUCUGUGUCAUCCUCCAUCACCUAUCUUCCUUUUGGUGUAUCUUCUUUAGGAACUGACAGAGCCUUGGAAACAAAGCCUGAAAAUGCCAGCUACUGAGAUUUAGUCCAAAGAAGGGGAGAGCUGAAGAAUGGAUGGGUGGAUGAAGAGGGUCAAGACCAUCAUAGCAGAGGCAGAGCUGGGUGAUGGAAGAAAGCAAUACUGUGUUGAAGUAAAUAUGCCUGGAGUUCCUGGAAUCACUCUGGAAUAAAAUUUUCACUCUGUCACUAUUUAAAUAGACUUGUUACUGACCGUUCAAGUUCUGUUUCUCCAUCAGUGAAAUGAUGGUAUGAGAACUUGACGAUUAUCCUCAAGUUCAGGGUCUGUUAUGAGCCAGCCAUCAUAUUAGAGGUGUAUCAUUUAAUUAGUGCUCCUAGAGCAACCAGUAAGGAAAAGGAAAAAGACUGGACAAGAUUUAAGUGGUGGCAGCCAUGGAGGCAAGAACUUGGUGGGAGACUUGAAAAUCAAAAAGGAUGCUGAGGAACUAUAUCCAGUCUCUUGGGAUAGAUCACGAGGGAAGAUAAUAUAAGAAAGGGAAUGUAGAAAUAUACAUAUUUCAAACCAGAUCACUUUGCUGUACUGCAGAAAUUGGCACAACAGUGUAAAUUAACUAUACUUUUUUUUUUUUUUUUUUUAGGGACACACCUGCAGCAUAUGGUAGUUCCCAGGCUAGGGGUUGAACUUGAGCCACAUCUGUGACCUACACUGCAGCUUGUGGCAAUGCCAGAUCCUUAACCCACUGAAUGAGGUCAGGGAUCAAACCCGCAUCCUUAUGGAUACUAGUUGGGUUCUUAACCCGCUGAGCCACAAAAGGAAUUGCCCAAAUCAACUGUACUUUAAUAAAAAAGAAAUAAUUUUUUUUUAAAGGGAUGCU